AUGCCGUGGUCGUGGACUCCCUGUCCAAUGCGGCGCUCGCCGUCGUCAAGAGGCUCGGGAUCCCUGGCUACACCUUGUUCACCUCGAGCGCCGCCACCUUCGUCGCCUUCGCCCAGCUCCCUACGGUCCUUGCAGAGGGCGGCCCGAGCUUCAAGGAGCUGGGACCUGGGAGACACCCCUCUCGAGCUAUUCGGCCUUCCACCCAUGCCGGCUUCGCAUCUGUUGGGCGAGGUGCUCGAGGACCCGGAGAGCGACACAUACAAGGCGAUGAUGGCCUUGCUGUGCCGGAUCCUGGAGGCCGACGGCACACUGGUAAACACGUUCGAGUCGUUGGAGGCUCGGGCCGUGGCUGCUCUCAAGGACCCUCGUUGUGUCCCCGGCUGGGUAUUGCCUCCGGUGUACUGCGUCGGUCCAUUUGUCGGCAGCAUCGCCGAUGCCGAGGCAAAAGAGCGGCACGAGUGCCUCGCCUGGCUAGACGGCCAACCGGACCGCAGCGUCGUGUUCCUUUGCUUCGGGAGCAUAGGCACUGGAAACCACUCUGAAGAGCAGCUCAGGGAGAUCGCCGUUGGCCUCGACAAGUCCGGCCACCGCUUCUUGUGGGUUGUGCGAGCCCCUGCCAGCGACAACCCGGAGAAGCCACACGACCCCAGUGCCAACCCGGACCUCGACACGCUCCUGCCGGACGGUUUCAUGGAGCGAACUAACGGCCGUGGCCUCGUCGUCAAGCUGUGGGCGCCACAGGUGGACGUCCUCCGCCACAGGGCCACGGGGGCGUUCGUGACGCACUGCGGGUGGAAUUCGGUGCUGGAGGGCGUCACGGCGGGCGUGCCGAUGCUGUGCUGGCCGUUGUACUCGGAGCAGAAGAUGAACAAGGUGCACAUGGUGGGGGACAUGGGGAUCGCCACGGAGAUGGUCGGGUGGCAGCAGGGGCUGGUCAAGGCCGGCGAGGUAGAGGCCAAGGUAAGGCUUGUGAUGGAGUCUGAGGAGGGUAGAGAGCUCAGAGCACGGGCGACGGCGCACAAGGAAGCCGCGGCUGUGGCUUGCAACGACGGCGGGUCGUCGCGCUUGGCGUUUGCCCAGUUCCUGGCCGACGUGGCCAGCCGGCAGGAUCGGGCUUGCAGCGGGGAAGUGAUACAUGGGAGUGGGUGA
rnacentral:rRNA from 1 species